AGAACCUAAGAGUUCCAAUGACUAGAAGUCAAAGACCUACAGGAAAUCCUAGAAGAUCACAAACCAUAGUCAACUCAAACAAUACAAUGAGGCCAGAAGUCCCACCUUGAGCCUUGCAGAGAUCUCGGGAGGAAUGAAGUGGAUGGACACAUGUGAGCAUCCAGUAUAUGCAAAGACACUUCAGCAAGCAAACCCAGGACCCUCCCAGAUGAAACAACUGAAGAGUAGAAUUAUGAAAGAAGAGUCUGCCCAAAGCACACAGUUGACGGGAGGAAGCUAGGAUUCGUCACUGGCUUUUCCAAGUUCAAAACUCCUCCUUAAAAUAAAAGCAAG